UAUUUUAAUCUUCUAUUUCAUUCAACUACGCUUCGUUUUACACAUAAUAGAGUCUGCAUAAAUUAUUUGAAGAUUUUUUUAAGCUCAACACUGGCAAUCAUAGCAUGGUAAGAAACCGAUUGCUAUAAGGAAAAAAAAAGAAAAAGACAACACGUGCUUAUUUUGACAUUUUUGACAUAUUUUUAUUUUGAAACGUAAGUGUAUCCCGUCGCGGCUUUGUUGGAAAAUACUGAAUUAAAAUAAAAUACAAUGGGAAAAAACAAGAAAAAAGGAUCAAAGACUAAUGUUUUCAAGGUGGCGGGGGCUAAGAGUUUGAAAAAAACUAAAGCCAAAGCAGUGAAUUUAGGUCUUAAAAAUAUCAAGCAAAAGGUAGCUGAAAUCGACAAAGAAUUUGUAAAUAUAAAUAAGAAACCUAAAGGUAAUACUAAAAAUAAGAAAAAUCUUGAAGCACCAAAGAAGCCACCAGUAAAAAAGAAACAGCCAGUAUCAAAAGAGGAACUCAAUAAAACGACUGAAGAAAUUGAAAAAAUGGAUCUAUAGAUAGCGUUAAGUUGGUAAUUAAUAAAACAACAAAGCAAAAUAUUUUUAUUGGUUGAGUUCAGUUUCUGUAUCAAAAAUGAAUUUACUGUUACAUACUGUUAUGUUAAAAUAGACAUUGAGAAAAGAGCCAUUACUGUCAUACCUGUAUAUAUGUAUAAAUUAAGGAACAUUGAAAUGAUUCCUGAAUAUAAACUUGAGUUGCGUGAACUUACUAAAAUAUGUAUUUGAGUCGACUAUUAUCAAAGCCGGCAAUCUGACUUUUGGACAAUGAUUGGUAAAUCAGAAAAACGAAUUAUUGACUUUGUAUUCCAUUGGCAGUCACAAAACUCUUCAGAACGACAUCUUAGAUAAAUAACAGGUUAACUAUUUACCUUUCUUUAAUGCAGAUUUGAACCGUAUUUUUGAAGGAGACGAUUAUAUUCAAAUCAAUCUGUAUUGACAUAUCAAUAAAUUUUUUUUGUCCAAAUGCACAGAUUGCCACCUUUGAUAAUAGACGACUCAUUUAUCGGAAACUUAAUUUUUUGGCUCCCACCUAGCUAUAUAGGUGUAAAAGUGUUCCAUUUUUUGCCUACCGUUUGCUAGUAACCUUGCUAUGUUAGCAUCACUUAAUGUGAAGACUAAUGUGUCUCAGCCUUGGAGAUAUGUCUUUGUAUUAGCAUCUUCGACUUCGGUUCCCUCUGUAUUUUGUACCGUAUGUUCCAUUGGGAGUGCUCUGAGGAAUUAUUCGAGAUGAUACCGGCAUCUCGUUUUUACCAUUGCACCGCCCGCCACCAGAGUAGAGUUCAUCCAUACUACCUGGAGCCACUGCGGUCAUCCACAGUGCAUUUCCAGAGGUCUUUUUUGCAACGUACCAUCCGGCUAUGGAAUGAGCUCCACUCCACGGUGUUUCCCGAGCGCUAUGACAUGUCCUUUUUCAAACGAGGCUUGUGGAGAGUAUUAAGCGGUAGGCAGUGGCUUGGCUCUGCCCCUGGCAUUGCUGAAGUCCAUGGGCGACGGUAACCACUCACCAUCAGGUGGGCCGUAUGCUUGUCUGCAUACAAGGGCAAUAAAAAAAAAAAGAGCAAUGCUUUUCUAAAUCUUCCAAUGAAUCAGAAUCACGGCCUACUGAGAGGAUCUGGCAAGAAACUCAGUGGGCUAUCUGUCCCACCUUUUGUCUUAGGUUUUUAUGCAUGGUUAGGUUAUUUAAAUAGACAUAUCUGCUAUUGGUAUAGUGCACACUAAAUUGCUGGACAGCAAACCAUGUUAUUGCACUUUUUUUUAUUACUCUUGUAGGCAUACAGCCCACCUGAUGGUGAGUGGUAACCUCUUAGGCUUAAUGGUAGCCUCUUAGGCUACCAACGAAUAGGUAGAGAAAAUAGAACAAUGUAUUUUGUAUAAUGUGCAAAGCCUUGGGUCAUUAAUGUAUGUGCUCUGGGUCGUGAUGCUGCUUAAUUUUAUUCCCAGCCCAAAGACUUUUAUCUCAUUUUUGAAUAUGACUAUCAAAAUCAUACUGUUUAUAAGCUCAGGGAUACACUAAAAAUAUCUUUAUGUCCAUAAUUUUAUUAUUAUUUUAUUAAUGUAUUGAUAUGUUUCAAUUAUGAAAAAAAUUAAAAAUGAAAUCAAACAUUUUUAUAUAUGUCUUUUAUUGUUAAAAAAGAAUCAAUAAACUAUAACAUUACAUAA